UACGUAGGGGGCAAGCGUUGUCCGGAAUUAUUGGGCGUAAAGAGCGUGUAGGCGGUCCGGUAAGUCCGCUGUGAAAGUCCAGGGCUCAACCCUGGGAUGCCGGUGGAUACUGUCGGGCUCGAGUCCGGAAGAGGCGAGUGGAAUUCCUGGUGUAGCGGUGAAAUGCGUAGAUAUCAGGAGGAACACCGGUGGCGAAGGCGGCUAUCUGGACAGAAACUGACGCUGAGGCGCGAAAGCUAGGGGAGCAAACAGG
rnacentral:rRNA from 1 species